rnacentral:rRNA from 1 species
AUUGAACGCUGGCGGCGUGCCUAACACAUGCAAGUCGAGCGGUAACAGGUGUAGCAAUACAUGCUGACGAGCGGCGGACGGGUGAGUAACGCUUGGGAAUCUGCCUGUUAGUGGGGGACAACCCGGGAAACGUCGGGCUAAUACCGCAUACGCACUACGGUGGAAAGCCGGGACCGCAAGGCCUGGCGCUAACAGAUGAGCCCAAGUCGGAUUAGCUAGUUGGUAGGGAACGGCCUACCAAGGCGACGAUCCGUAACUGGUCUGAGAGGACGACCAGUCACACCGGAACUGAGACACGGUCCGGACUCCUACGGGAGGCAGCAGUGGGGAAUAUUGGACAAUGGGCGAAAGCCUGAUCCAGCGACGCCGCGUGGGUGAAGAAGGCCUGCGGGUUGUAAAGCCCUUUCGGUGGGGAAGAAAAGCCUCGAGUUAAUACCUCGGGUCUUGACGUAACCCAUAGAAGAAGCACCGGCUAACUCUGUGCCAGCCGCCGCGGUAAC